CUGCAUAUUCAGAUGCUGAUUAGAUUUUUGCGGGAAGUGGUUGUGGUAUAAAUACAUUAGAAUUACAAGCGUCGAUUCACUUUAACAAGAAGUGUUCCUCUUUUACAACUUUUCAGAAUUUUAGAGGCGCGACUUCUUCAGCGAUCUCGUUCUCAGUUUACUUACGACAUGGCUGGAAAACUUAUUAUCCUUUGCUUCUUGUUGGCGGUAGUCACAAUUGCAACUUGCAAACCACGAAAUCCUUUUGCAGGUCUUUCCCAGCGAGAUAUUUUGAUGCUCGGAGAGGAAAAGCGCGGUGGCGGUUGUCCAAGGAUGAGUUACUGUUCCACCUCCUCUAAUUGCCAGGGUUCAGUCACCGAUCGAAACGGAGAAGAGGUUGGACUUUUUCUUGUUACCCCUGGAACUUGUGGUUCAGGAUUUAAUACGGUGUGCUGCACGGAGUUCAUGUACUAUGGUGGUCUUUAGAGAGUUCAGGUAGACCAGCCAACACAGCAAGCUGCAAGAAGUCAUAUUUACAUCAAAAAUAGCCAGUCUCUCUUUAGGUGUGAUUAUCAAAUCUUUAAAAGUCUCGAUUCGUUUUUUUUGUAAUUUCAUCAUGAGAGUAUAAUAAAGACUGCAUUAAACUGGA